AUUUAUAUAGUUUAUUAAAAACCUUACAUUUUCAUUGUAAAAAUAAAACACAAGUUUUUAUAAAUU
rnacentral:tRNA from 1 species